AAAUCUUCAAAAACCCUUUUCUUUGAUCCAUUUCGGUCGGGAAAAGGAUUUUUGGACUUGGAGGUUCAAUGCUCGCUCUUUCUUUUUUGAAAGCGAGCUCCUCUCAAAUGAAUUAGUGGGGUCUGCUUUGCUGAUCCUUGACGUGAUAAGAUGUUUCUACGUUUUGGAUUUAGCACUGUCCCUUAGACACCUGCUCCUAACUGUCUCACGGACAAUGAUGGUGCUCUGGUCAUCGCCAUCUACAUUGGCGGGAGGCUGGACCCACAAAAAGAAAA
rnacentral:misc_RNA from 1 species